rnacentral:lncRNA from 1 species
UCCUGGGACUGGGUCAAGCAGCAGGUGCAGCUAUAAGAUGCCAGGGUAGUGGCUGAGUGGUGAAACUGAAAGGUGUAUAGGCCCAGACAAAAGUCCAUCCGUCUUGCCUGCCUGUCUAUGCAGGUGGUCUGCACCUGCAGCCCUUUCUUGGUCUGAUCUGGUUAUAGGAGAAUAGAGGUCAAUAUUGGUACCCAAAACUUCAAUAAGAGAAGUAUGUGGAAGUUUGGAGCAAAGCCUGCAGUUGACAUCUAACCCUUUGGGCCCUUUUCAGAGCCCUUCAGGGUAAAAAAGAGUUCUCUCUCCUUUGGGCUUCUCAGUACCUACCUUGGAAGGGUCAGGGAUAAUGACCUGGUGACCACCAGAUCUUCCUUUGCAGGGUCUCUGUUUGUGGCACUGUGCUAGGUCUUUUCAUUUUCUUUCUGUUUUACUUCAUUGUUAUGAUUAUGAGUAUCAUCAUCAUUAUUGUGUGCCAUAAUAGCAAGUGUGUGGAGGGCAGAAGACACUUUUAUGGAAUCAGUUCAUUCCUAUCUUUUUUUUUUUUUCUAAGAUAGGGUUUUUCUAUGCAACAGCCCUGGUUGUCCUGGAACUUGCUGUAUAGACUAGGCUGGUCUUAAACUCAGAGAUCCGCCUGCCUCUGCCUCUUGAGUGAUGGGACUAAAGGCAUAUGCUACUAUGCCUGGCUGUUCUCAUCUAUCUUUUUGUGUGUUUGGAGGAUCGAACACAGGUCUGAUGAGAUUUGAUUGACAAGCACUUUUUGGUUUUGGACACAGGGUCUCACAAUAUCUCUGGCUGGCCUAGAACUUGCUUUUAGACCAUGUUGACCUCAAACUCACAGAGAUCCACUAGCUUCUGCCUCUUGAGUGCUGGGAUUAAAGGCUUGUGGCAAGCAAUUUUACCUGAGAAGCCAUCUCUCUGAUCCCUUGUGUCUGAGCUUUAAGAGGAGGUUAUGUAGUUGGGAGCCUGGACUGUAGAAUUGUAGUUAUGGGUUUGAGUCUGGGCAUCAUCACAUACUGCUGUUGGGCAGUAGCCACGUUUCUUUUUUUCCCCUCUGUGUAUGUUGUAUCUGUAUGUGUUGUAUAGGUGUGUAUGUGUAUACUUGUCUGUGUGUGUUGAGGAAGCCAGAGAUUGGUUUCAACUAUCCUCCUCUGUCAUUCUCCUUUAUUUUGAAACAUGGUCUCUUGCUGCUCCGUCUAAACAGCUGGCCCAGGGACCAGCCUGUCUCCAUCGCUCAAGUAAUAUUGUUACAGGUGCAUACACCACACCUGGCUUUUCACGUGAAUGUUAGGAAUCAAACUCAGGUCUUGAGACACUAUCUCAAAAAACACAAACAAAUCAAAAGACAAACUCAAACCAGGAAGAAUUACUCUUUUAAUUUCAUUGUGGAGGAGAAUGAAGGGACAGAGAAGAAAACAUCACAGAAAUGUAGCUAGUACGUGGUGGUAAAGUAGUGCUUUGAACCCAAGCAGUCUGCCUCAGAAGCCC